rnacentral:rRNA from 1 species
AACGAACGCUGGCGGCACGUUUUAAGCAUGCAAGUCGAAUGGCAGUGGGGGCAACCCCAUGAGAAUGGCGAACGGGUGAGUAACACGUAGGUGAUCUGCCUGACGGAUGGGGAUAGCUUGUGGAAACACAGGGUAAUACCGAAUGAGCUGACGAGACUUUGGUUUUGUUAGUAAAGGUGCUACGGCACCGCCGACAGAGGAGCCUGCGGCUGAUUAGCUAGAUGGUGGGGUAAAGGCCUACCAAGGCGAGGAUCAGUAGCCGGCCUGCGAGGGGAGACGGCCACACUGGAACUGAGACACGGUCGAGACUCCUACGGGAGGCAGCAGCUAAGAAUCUUCCGCAAUGGGCGAAAGCCUGACGGAGCGAUGCCGCGUGAUCGAUGAAGGUCGAGAGAUUGUAAAGAUCUUUUCUACAUGAGGAAUAAGUCUGGGAGGGAAUGCCUGGAUGAUGACGUUAGUGUAGGAAUAAGCCCCGGCUAAUUACGUGCCAGCCGCCGCUGUAA